AAAAAUCACGUUCAAUAUCAUUUUGUUACUCUCAAAGUUUACGGUUUGAUUCUUCCACAGCUAUUUGUAUCCAUGAUCUUUGUCCUACCACCUACCACUUCCUGAUCAACAAUAUACACAAAGAAGAAGAAGAAGAAGACAAGAAAAAAAAAAAACAUCAUUUACUAUACAUGAUAAGGGAUACAUUGAUAAGCUGAAUCAAUGGUAAUCAGAACCCUUGGUCAUCAAAUUUAUCAAAUAUUGAUUAAAAAGAUACAAGACAAUAUUCCAUGGACAAUUGGACUUAGACAAUUUGCACCCAGAAGAGAAAGCUAUAUGUUUUCACAAGAACCAGUGCAAUAAAAAUUCAUUUUGGCACAUUCGUUAAAACUGUUAUCCCUGUAAACAAAUGUGUCAAUCAACAAAACAAGAUAAAACCUCAAAACCCAAAUGAUCAGGCUGAAAAAUCAGGUUCAAGUUUUACAACCUAAGAAAAUAAAAAUCCACAAAAAUCAGGUUCAAUGUUUCAAAGCUCAAAAAAAAAAAAAAAUUCUUUUGACAAAAUCUCAUAUAUCUUUUUCUUUUUCUUUUUUUUUUCUAAGAAAAAAUUCACAAAUAUCUUGAUAUAGGAUUCGUCCAAAAAACUUUUCAAAAACAUAAAAAAAAACGCAACCCACUGGUUACAAAAAUCAUGACUAGGAUUUUAUAAAUUAUAAAGAAAAUCGUUUAUUUUUUACCCAAAAUACAUUGAUUUCCAGUAGGGAUGAUUAAGUAAAUAAAUCGUUCUUUUUUUUUUUUUUAGCCAGGAGCUCAUGAAACCUACAACCUAAAAAUUCAAAAAAAAAAAAAUCCACAACCCAUUCUUUGGUAUCAGAUUUUGAUAGCUCAAGCCUCAAACAAAAAUUUGGCUUUUUCCCCAAAAAAAUAAAAAAUGGAAGGAAUCAAAAUACCGGAUUUUGAUUUUUCUAUCUCUUGCUCUUUGAUUUGUUAGCCGAAGAAAUUCUAAGUCAUUUACUUCAUCUUCAAAACCCAUUCUCGAAAGAAAUCAACAUAUGUUUUGAUAUGUUAGCCAAAGAAAUCCGUAGCCCGUGUGGCUGAUUUUGAGGAAGAAGAAGAGAAAGGGGAUUUUUGGGAAGGGCUAGAUGGGUUAUUAAAAGAAGAGAGAGACUGGAGGGGGAGAGAGCUGGAGGAAGAGAGAAGGAAAAGGGUAUAGUGACCCUGUGGGAAGAAGAGGGCGAGAGGAAAUGUAGAGAGAGAAAGGCAAGAGAGAGUAAAGAGGGAGAGAGACUAAACAAAAGUAUCGAGAGAGCUAGUAAAGAGGGAGAUAGAGUACAAAUGAGGGAAGAG
rnacentral:lncRNA from 1 species